ACAUUGCUGUGGCAUACGAAUCCACAUCUAAGUGUUGACCGACUAUUUCUUUGUAUUUUCGGGAAACAAAGACUCUUUCUAGUCUGCAAGCCGUUUCACGCGGACGCAACUUCCAAGAAAGAGCGCGUUACCCACCUGCUUAUACUGCGCGGGCUCAAUACAAAAACGUGGAUCACCGGUGCCAAUACAGCAUUCUU
rnacentral:other from 16 species